CACCCUUGGCAAUGGACAAGGAGACACCUUCUUGUUGGAGGUAUUCUUAUAUCAGACAGGGUCAGAGCAGAUGGCAGGCCUUUGUUCAUUCAAGCUUGAUGACUGGCUUGGUGGCCAAGGCUAUUUUAUCCCUAAAACACAUAA